rnacentral:tRNA from 1 species
GGUACGGUAGCACAGUGGCUAGUGCAGUCUGGCGAAAACAGAAAGACGCGGGUUCAAUUCCCGUCCGAUGUCA